GCGCUCACUUCCGCAGCACAUAUACUGAAAUCAGAACGGUACAGAAAAGAUUAACAUGGCCCCCGCACAGGAUGACAUGAAAAUUCGUGAAUCACUCUCUAUCUUU